rnacentral:rRNA from 1 species
CCUACGGGAGGCAGCAGUGGGGAAUAUUGCACAAUGGGGGAAAGCCUGAUGCAGCGACGCCGCGUGAGUGAAGAAGUCAUUCGUUAUGUAAAGCUCUAUCAGCAGGGAAGAAAAUGACGGUACCUGAGUAAGAAGCCCCGGCUAACUACGUGCCAGCAGCCGCGGUAAUACGUAGGGGGCACGCGUUAUCCGGAUUUACUGGGUGUAAGGGGAGCGUAGGCGGCAGUGAAAGUCGGGAGUGAAAGGCGGAGGCUCAACCCGUGGACUGCUAUUGAAACUGUAUGGCUGGAGUGCAGGAGAGGUAAGUGGAAUUCCUAGUGUAGCGGUGAAAUGCGUAGAUAUUAGGAGGAACACCAGUGGCGAAGGCGGCUCACUGGACUGUAACUGACGCUGAGGCUCGAAAGCGUGGGGAGCAAACAGGAUUAGAUACCCGUGUAGUC